AAAUCUUAAGCCAACAUUGGUAAGCAUUUACAUACAGGAUUUAAAACAAAUUACCCGACAAAUAAAACCAUAAUCCUUAAGUAAAAGCUUGAUAAACCAAAUAUAUAGGCUAGAAAUAAUACUCAAAUAUUAUCAUAGAAUGGUGCACCGACUUUCAGCCUGCCUACGGAGUUCCUCAGUCUCCCUUUGAGCUCUUUCUAAAUUCUCUCUUAGCUGGCGGAUUUCAUCAUUUGAUUUCAUCUGAGCCAAUUGUGCUAUCUCCUCUGCUUUUAGUCGGGCUGCUUGCUCCUCUGCCAACUGCUGCUCAAGCCUAGUUGUUGUCUCCCUAAGCUUUGACUCAACCAUCUCAGUUAUUCGUUUCAGUUGUUCUUCGUAUGACUUAUGCAUCUGCUCCUUCAGCUCCAAUAUUUCUCGUUUAGAAUAACCUUUCAAAGAAUCAACCUCUUCUUGUUGAUCACGAAGUUUCAUAGCCCCUUGUUUCAACUCGGCAAAUAACUCAUCUGUGUAUGGUUGUCCACCAUUUUGGACUAGGACCAUAUUUACAAGGGAAAGAAGCUGCUGAAGCUGUUCAGCUCUCUUAAGUUCAUCUUUAGUUUUGUUAUCAAAAAGCACUCGUCGAUUCUUGCAGAGUGUGAGAAUUUCCUUUAAAGGCCAAGGACAUUCACGACCUAGAUAAUCUUCCAAUGUCUCAUCAUUAUCUUCAAGUUCAUCUCCUCCUGUGAAUACUACAAUCAUGUAGUCAAAUAUCUUGCUUCCAAACAAAGUCUGUAAGCUACGAAGUGCAGCUUCUUCUUCUUGUGAAAAGCGGGUCCUAACUGAGAAUACUACAAGGACUGCAUGGAUCCCAUCCUUGGCCAUGUUAAUACAUUUGACAAUUUCUUUGCCAACAAAUUCAGAUUCAGCAGAAAAAUCAAACAGUCCAGGAGUGUCGACGACGUUGAUAAUUUGACCAUCUGUAAUCACAGUUCUCUGCAAUUCACAAGUACUGGUAACACCAGAUGAGCUAGCCCUUGAUUUGAAGGCCUUCCUUCCAAGAAUACUGUUGCCUGUCGCACUUUUGCCAUUACCUGUACGCCCAACUAAGACCACAGUGCGAACCCCAUUAGAUGGUGAAGUAAGCUCCCAGUCAUCAUCUAUUGCACUUCCACCCAUCAUGCCACGUCAGACAACCUUUUCCUGUUACAAGAAGAAAAGAAUAUUAAUUCACCAAAAAAGAAGAAAAGAACGUUAAAGGAAUAGCUAUUCAAGUGAUC
rnacentral:misc_RNA from 1 species